rnacentral:tRNA from 1 species
CUCUUUGUAGUGUAAUUUUAAGCACUUUCGGCUGGUAAUCGGGAGGUCCCGAGUUCAAAUCCAGGCGAAGGAA